AGGAUAAACGCUGGCGGCGUGCCUAAUGCAUGCAAGUCGAACGAGGUGUUCUUUCGGGAGCAUCGAGUGGCGGACGGGUGAGGAACACGUACGAUACCUGCCCACCGGUGGGGAAUAACCCCUCGAAAGGGGGCUAAUGCCGCAUACGGUCACUGGGGUGAUGCCUGGUGAGGAAAGCUCGCAAGGGCGCUGGUGGAGGGGCGUGCGGCCGAUUAGCUAGUUGGUGGGGUAAGAGCCUACCAAGGCGACGAUCGGUAGCUGGUCUGAGAGGAUGGUCAGCCACACUGGGACUGAGAUACGGCCCAGACUCCUACGGGAGGCAGUAGCAGGGAAUCUUGCGCAAUGGGCGAAAGCCUGACGCAGCAACGCCGCGUGGGUGAUGAAGGCUUUCGGGUCGUAAAGCCCUUUUCUGGGGGACGAAGGUCUGACGGUACCCCAGGAAGAAGCCACGGCUAACUACGUGCCAGCAGCCGC
rnacentral:rRNA from 1 species